UACGUAGGGGGCAAGCGUUGUCCGGAUUCAUUGGGCGUAAAGAGCGUGUAGGCGGCCAGGCAGGUCGGUUGUGAAAACUGGAGGCUCAACCUUGAGAGGUCGACCGAAACCAUCUGGCUAGAGUCCGGGAGAGGAGAGUGGAAUUCCUGGUGUAGCGGUGAAAUGCGCAGAUAUCAGGAAGAACACCCGUGGCGAAAGCGGCUCUCUGGAACGGUACUGACGCUGAGACGCGAAAGCGUGGGGAGCGAACAGG
rnacentral:rRNA from 1 species